rnacentral:rRNA from 1 species
AUUGAACGCUGGCGGCAUGCUUUACACAUGCCAGUCGAACGGCAGCGCGGGCUUCGGCCUGGCGGCGAGUGGCGAACGGGUGAGUAAUACAUCGGAACGUGCCCAGUAGUGGGGGAUAGCUCGGCGAAAGCCGGAUUAAUACCGCAUACGACCUGAGGGUGAAAGCGGGGGAUCUUCGGACCUCGCGCUAUUGGAGCGGCCGAUGGCAGAUUAGCUAGUUGGUGGGGUAAAGGCCUACCAAGGCGACGAUCUGUAGCUGGUCUGAGAGGACGACCAGCCACACUGGGACUGAGACACGGCCCAGGCUCCUACGGGAGGCAGCAGUGGGGAAUUUUGGACAAUGGGCGAAAGCCUGAUCCAGCAAUGCCGCGUGUGUGAUGAAGGCCUUCGGGUUGUAAAGCACUUUUGGCGGGAACGAAAAGGACUGUGCCAAUACCACGGUUCGAUGACGGUACCCGCAGAAUAAGCACCGGCUAACUACGUG